rnacentral:rRNA from 1 species
GUAGGGAAUAUUGGACAAUGGGGGAAACCCUGAUCCAGCAAUGCCGCGUGGGUGAAGAAGGCCUGCGGGUUGUAAAGCCCUUUUGGUAGGGAAGAAAAGCCUGAGACUAAUACUUUCGGGUGUUGACGUAACCUACAGAAGAAGCACCGGCUAACUCUGUGCCAGCAGCCGCGGUAAUACAGAGGGUGCAAGCGUUAAUCGGAAUUACUGGGCGUAAAGCGUGCGUAGGUGGCUAUUUAAGUCGGAUGUGAAAUCCCUGGGCUCAACCUAGGAACUGCAUUCGAAACUGGGUAGCUAGAGUACAGUAGAGGAUAGCGGAAUUCCCGGUGUAGCAGUGAAAUGCGUAGAUAUCGGGAGGAACACCAGUGGCGAAGGCGGCUAUCUGGACUGAUACUGACACUAAGGCACGAAAGCGUGGGUAGCAAACAGGAUUAGAUACCCUUGUAGUCC